AACGAUAAAGGCAAACCCUGAGUGAUCAGGGGGCGCAAAGUAACAGGGUCUUUUGCAGGGGCGUAUUGCAUACGCCCUUGUUUGUCCGAUAAAAAGACAGCCUUACUGCCGAAG
rnacentral:ncRNA from 1 species